CCUACGGGAGGCAGCAGUGGGGAAUAUUGCACAAUGGGCGCAAGCCUGAUGCAGCGACGCCGCGUGAGGGAUGACGGCCUUCGGGUUGUAAACCUCUUUCAGUAGGGAAGAAGCGAAAGUGACGGUACCUGCAGAAGAAGCGCCGGCUAACUACGUGCCAGCAGCCGCGGUAAUACGUAGGGCGCAAGCGUUAUCCGGAAUUAUUGGGCGUAAAGAGCUCGUAGGCGGUUUGUCGCGUCUGCCGUGAAAGUCCGGGGCUCAACUCCGGAUCUGCGGUGGGUACGGGCAGACUAGAGUGAUGUAGGGGAGACUGGAAUUCCUGGUGUAGCGGUGAAAUGCGCAGAUAUCAGGAGGAACACCGAUGGCGAAGGCAGGUCUCUGGGCAUUAACUGACGCUGAGGAGCGAAAGCAUGGGGAGCGAACAGGAUUAGAUACCCUGGUAGUCCAUGCCGUAAACGUUGGGCACUAGGUGUGGGGGACAUUCCACGUUUUCCGCGCCGUAGCUAACGCAUUAAGUGCCCCGCCUGGGGAGGUACGGCCGCGAGACGUAAACUUAAAAGUAAGUAGUAGACGCGNGAGAGCGACGACGACGACGACGAGGAGGAG
rnacentral:rRNA from 1 species